CAGUGGUUAAGAAUCUGCCUGCCAAUGCAGGGGACACGGGUUUGAGCCCUGGUCCAGGAAGAUCCCACAUGCCGCGGAGCAACGAAGCCCGUGCACUACAACUACUGAGCCUGCGCUCUAGAGCCCGCGACCCACAACUACUGAAGCCCACGUGCCUAGAGUCCGUGCUCCACAACAAGAGAAGCCACCACAGUGAGAAGCCCACGCACCGCAACGAAGAGUAAGCCCUGCUCUCUGCAACUAGAGAAAGCCUGCACGCAGCAAUGAAGACCCAACGCAGCCAAAAAUAAAUAAAAUAAAUUUUUUUAAAAAGCAGGGUGGCGGAGGUGGGAGGGGGAGGAGGAGAGAAGUAACCAGACUGCGGCUCUGCAGCCUGUCCUCCCUUCCCUGCCUACCUUGUGCUCCACUCCCCUUCUUCCCUCCCCUUUCCGCAGCAUAAGCCCCUUCUUGGUUGCUGCAUCCAGAAGUCUUUCACUUGAGAAAAUGUGGAAGUAAACCUGGACAUCCUAGGCUUUUGCUUUAAGCUUCUUCUUCAAAGGACCAAGGAAGGUGGUACCCCAGAACCCAGACCCUUUUGCUCUGCAGACCUGAUUUCUGGCCGGGGAUCUUAGCCACAGACGAGAGUCCCACUGAAGCCGCGUGGCUCCCAGGGAGCACCCGGGAGGGCACCGGAGAAGAUAAGCUGGUUGCAUCUGGCAAAGGGGCGAUGUCCUUUCUCUGUAUUUGAGGACAGCAACAGGAAAAAAUGAAACAGGAAAAAGAGAGUGAGUGUCCACCUUACCCCCUCAUGAUCUUGGGCCUUUGGACUCAGACUGGAACUGCACCAUUGUCUCUCUUCCGUUUCCAGCUCGCCAACUGCGAAACUUGGAACUUGUCAGCCUCUGUGAUCAUGUGAGCCAAUUCUUUAUGAUAAAUCUCUCUCUCUCUCUUAAACUCUCUCCCUAUUUGUUCUGUUUCUCUGAAGAACCCUGACUAAUACAGGACUAUUACAAACAAAGCUGCUAUAAACAUUGGUAUACAGGAAAACACAUGUUUCCAUUUCUCUGGGAUAAAUUCCCAGGAGCGCCACUGCUGCAUCUUAUGGCAUGUGGGAUCUUAGUUCCCCGACCAGGGAUUGAACCCAUGCCCCCUCCAUUGGGACCGUGGAUGGAGUCUUAACCACUGGACUGCCAGGGAAGUCCCUCUGGUCUCUUGAUUGCCAUAUGGAAUAUCUUUUGGUGGGAGCUCAAGACUGGAUGUCAUUUUGUCUUUGGGUUUUAACAUUUGGUUUUCAGAUGCUCUCCUCAUGUUGUCUUAUUCCAGCCUCAGUCUAUUGACCACGGUGCUACUUUUCUAAUUCUCUGUACUAAAUCCAUGUUCCACUUCUUGGCAUCAUCUGCCAGCUCUGGUUAAGAGUCCUUGUCCUCUGGAAGCCUAGGUGAUGUUGGCCAUGAAAUAGGCCAACCUAUUGAUCACUCCCUAAGCUACAACUAUGGGAAUGGGGCAUAAUGUUGCACAAAAGUGUUUAUAGCAUUAAUCUGUCUGUGGAAUGAGAAAAGAAAAUCCUUUUUCAGCUCAGUCCCUAAUAAAGUAGUAACUUUUCCUAGAGCCAAGUUAGGACUCCAUAGGCCUUACAUAGUUCCACUCUCCCUCUUGGCACUCUGCCCAGAACCCCUGUGAACAAGCCCAAGCUAGCCUGCUGGAGGAUGAGAGACCAUGUGGAACAAAGGCAAGCCAUCCCACCUGAGGCCACCUUAGAUCAGCCAGUCCCCAGUUGAUCUGCUAGCUAACCAGCAGCUGACCAAAGAUGCAUGAGUGAAUCCAGCUGAGUUCAGAAGCCCAGUCCGAAUUGCUGACCCAUAUAAUUGUGAGCUAAAUAAAUGAUUGUGGUUUUACACACUGAAUUAUGAGGUGGUUUGUUACACAGCAAAAGUUAAGUGGUUCACCCUGCUAGGGAGGUCUGGUUACAUCACAGGUUUAAUAAACUGGCUCAAUUUUACUUGACUGUGGGAUAAUCUUUGGAGCUAUCCUAUUCUUCCCUAACAUCCUCAGCUCUACCAUAGCACAUUAGUGUGGUGAUGGAGGUCGUGGGCACUGUAGUUGCAGACCUGGAUCUGAAUCCCUCUUAGGAGGGGCGUGCAUUGGCAGGCGAUCUCUUAACCACUGUGCCACCAGGGAAGUCCCUGAACCUUAUUUUCUUAUCUGUAAAACAUGGAAAAGAAUAUCACUUAAUAAUAUCACUUGUGGUUGCUUAUCCAAUAUCUAUUCCUGGCCCCCCUAUUUCCUUUCUAACAGAACUCUGAUUCCGUUCAGGUAUUCAUACAUCCUCUGCAUUGUUCUCUGAAUUCUCUACAUAGCCUAGAUCAGGGGUGAUUCCUGAUUAGUCUCAACUAAAUCUUGGAAAUUCCAUUCUGCUCGCCAAUGAUUAGUUUAAGAGUGGGCUAGGAUCAAAUUCUGGCCGAUGAGAGCUGAGAGGGAAAGAUGCUAGUGUGAAGGGGCUUCUGGGAAGGAUUUCCUCACUCCUAAGAAGCAGAUGAGGAAGGGAUGAUCUGUCUCUUCUGAAGAUUGUUGGGUCUGGACACAAGGCCUGGGACUGUUGUAGCCAUCUUGUGGUCAUGGUUACUUGAAGGCAAAAUCAAAGCCCUGAGGAAGGCAGAGGCAUGAGAUGAAAGAACCUGGGUCCUUGAAUGUAUCACUAAACCACUGAAACUCCAAUUACGGAAUCAACCCUAUCUCAGAGCUACUUGUUAUGUGAAAUAAUAAAUCUCUAUUAUUUAAGUUUGUCUGGGUCAGGUUUUCUGUUUCUUGCUAAUCCAAGCAUCCUGAGUGAUAUAUCCUUUAGGACAGCAUCUGGUACAUACU